CUUCCAGUAGCACCUUAGAGACCAACUAAGUUAGUUAUUGAUAUGAGCUUUCGUGUGCAUGCAUACUUCUUCAGAUACACGAAAGCUCAUACCAAUAAUAAACGUAGCUGGUCUCUAAGGUGCUACUGGAAG